rnacentral:rRNA from 1 species
GAUGAACGCUGGCGGCGUGCCUAAUACAUGCAAGUCGAGCGAACAGACGAGGAGCUUGCUCCUCUGACGUUAGCGGCGGACGGGUGAGUAACACGUGGAUAACCUACCUAUAAGACUGGGAUAACUUCGGGAAACCGGAGCUAAUACCGGAUAAUAUAUUGAACCGCAUGGUUCAAUAGUGAAAGACGGUUUUGCUGUCACUUAUAGAUGUAUCCGCGCCGCAUUAGCUAGUUGGUAAGGUAAAGGCUUACCAAGGCAACGAUGCGUAGCCGACCUGAGAGGGUGAUCGGCCACACUGGAACUGAGACACGGUCCAGACUCCUACGGGAGGCAGCAGUAGGGAAUCUUCCGCAAUGGGCGAAAGCCUGACGGAGCAACGCCGCGUGAGUGAUGAAGGUCUUCGGAUCGUAAAACUCUGUUAGUAGGGAAGAACAAAUGUGUAAGUAACUAUGCACGUCUUGACGGUACCUAAUCAGAAAGCCACGGCUAACUACGUG